rnacentral:misc_RNA from 1 species
AACCAUAGAAACCUGCGGAGUACCUGCGGAAGGAUCAUUACAGAGUUGCAAAACUCCCACAAACCAUCGCGAAUCUUACCCGUACGGUUGCCUCGGCGCUGGCGGUCCGGAAGGCCCUCGGGCCCCCGGACCCUCGGGUCCCCCGCUCGCGGGGGGCUGCCCGCCGGAGUGCCGAAACCAAACUCUUGAUAUUUUAUGUCUCUCUGAGUAAACCUUUAAAUAAGUCAAAACUUUCAACAA